rnacentral:rRNA from 1 species
UACGUAGGGGGCAAGCGUUGUCCGGAAUCAUUGGGCGUAAAGAGCGUGUAGGCGGCCCGAUAAGUCCGCUGUGAAAGUCCAGGGCUCAACCCUGGAAUGCCGGUGGAUACUGUCGGGCUCGAAUCCGGAAGAGGUGAGUGGAAUUCCUGGUGUAGCGGUGAAAUGCGCAGAUAUCAGGAGGAACACCGGAGGCGAAGGCGGCUCACUGGGUAUCUUCUGACGCUGAGGCGCGAAAGCUAGGGGAGCAAACGGG